rnacentral:rRNA from 1 species
GAUGAACGCUGGCGGCGUGCCUAACACAUGCAAGUCGAGCGAUUUACUUCGGUAAAGAGCGGCGGACGGGUGAGUAACGCGUGGGUAACCUGCCCUGUACACACGGAUAACAUACCGAAAGGUAUGCUAGUACGAGAUAAUAUACUUUUAUCUCAUGGUAGAAGUAUCAAAGACUCUGGCGGUACAGGAUGGACCCGCGUCUGAUUAGCUAGUUGGUAAGGUAACGGCUUACCAAGGCGACGAUCAGUAGCCGACCUGAGAGGGUGAUCGCCACAUUGGAACUGAGACACGGUCCAAACUCCUACGGGAGGCAGCAGUGGGGAA